AGGUGCGAUCAUACGAGCACUGAUGCACAAAAUUCUAUCAGAACUCCGUAGUGAAGCAUGCUUGGGCGAGAGUAGUACUAGGAUGGGUGACCUCCUGUAAUGUCCUUUGAAGCGUGCUGG
rnacentral:rRNA from 2 species